rnacentral:pre_miRNA from 1 species
UUAAUACUCCCUCCGUCCGGAAAUACUUGUCAUUGAAAUGGAUGUAUCUAGAUGUAUUUUAGUUCUAGAUACAUCCAUUUUCAUCCAUUUUGAUGACAAGUAAUUUCGGACGGAGGGAGUAGAAG